rnacentral:rRNA from 1 species
GGGCGUAAAGAGCUCGUAGGCGGUGUGUCGCGUCGGCCGUGAAAACUUGGGGCUUAACUCUGAGCGUGCGGUCGAUACGGGCAUCACUUGAGUACGGCAGGGGAGACUGGAAUUCCUGGUGUAGCGGUGAAAUGCGCAGAUAUCAGGAGGAACACCGGUGGCGAAGGCGGGUCUCUGGGGCCGAUACUGACGCUGAGGAACGAAAGCGUGGGGAACGCAACAGGAUAUAGAUACCCUGGUAGUCCAUGCCGUAAACGGUGGGCGCUAGGUGUGGGGUCCUUCCACGGAUUCCGUGCCGUAGCUAACGCAUUAAGCCGCCCCGCCUGGGGAGUACGGCCGCGAUGCUAAAACUCAAAGGAAUUGACGGGGGCCCGCGCAAGCGGCGGAGCAUGUGGAUUAAUUCGAUGCAACGCGAAGAACCUUACCUAGGCUUGACAUAUACAGGACGACGGCAGAGAUGUCGUUUCCCUUGUGGCUUGUAUACAGGUGGUGCAUGGUUGUCGUCAGCUCGUGUCGUGAGAUGUUGGGUUAAGUCCCGCAACGAGCGCAACCCCUGUCUCAUGUUGCCAGCACGUUAUGGUGGGGACUCGUGAGAGACUGCCGGGGUCAACUCGGAGGAAGGUGGGGAUGACGUCAAAUCAUCAUGCCCCUUAUGUCUAGGGCUUCACACAUGCUACAAUGGCUAGUACAGAGGGCUGCGAGACCGCGAGGUGGAGCGAAUCCCUUAAAGCUAGUCUCAGUUCGGAUUGGGGUCUGCAACUCGACCCCAUGAAGUCGGAGUCGCUAG